CAACCCUCAAGCUCUGCUUGGUCUUGGGCCUCGCGCUCGGCGGGCCUCAAACGCAGUGGCGGUGCUUCCAGGCUCUGAGCGUAGUACAUCUCCCGCUACAGCUGUCUGGAGGUUACCAGCCAGCAACCCCUAUUUCUCUAGG
rnacentral:rRNA from 1 species